GACGAACGCUGGCGGCGUGCCUAAUACAUGCAAGUCGAACGCAGUGGGGACGGGUGAGUAACACCUGGGUAACCUCCCAUCAGACGGGAUAACCCUUGGAAACUGGUGCUAAACCGAUACUGAUGGAUGGAGCUGCGGUGCUUUAGCUUGUUGGUGUGGUAACGGCGUACCUAGGCCACGAUGCAUAGCCGGCCUGAGAGGAUGAUAGGCCACACUGGAACGUAGACACGGCCCAGACUCCUACGGGAGGCAACAGUGGGGAAUCUUCGGCAAUGGGCGAAAGUCUGACCCAGCCAUGCCGCGUGUGUGAAGAAGGUUUUCGGGUCGUAAAGCCCUUUUGGUAGAGAAGCGGUAUCUAACCAGGAAGCCACGGCUAACUACGUGCCAGCAGCCGCGGUAAUUC
rnacentral:rRNA from 1 species